rnacentral:rRNA from 1 species
AUACGUAUGGGGCAAGCGUUGUUCGGAAUCACUGGGCGUAAAGGGAGCGUAGGCGGAAAGGUAAGUUAGGAGUGUAAUCUACAGGCUCAACCUGUGGCUUGCUUUUAAUACUGCUUUUCUUGAGUAGUAGAGAGGAAAACAGAAUUCUAGGUGUAGCGGUGGAAUGCGUAGAUAUCUAGAAGAACACCAGGUGCGAAGGCGGUUUUCUGGCUACAUACUGACGCUGAGGCUCGAAAGCGUGGGGAGCGAACAGGAUUAGAAACCCCAGUAGUCC